AUUCUAAGCCAACACUCAUGGUUCUCAGCUCUGUGGACAGGUGUGGACAUCUCUUUGUCCUCAUUUAAUCUAGAGCCGGUGCUAUCUGUGGCUAACAGUGCCUAUGGAUGUAAUUCCUUCAUUUCAUCUCUUUUUUCUGUGUGUGUGUGUGCUAAUGCAUUGCCACAAAGGAAACAUAUUAGAAAGACAGAUAUCCAUAAAAAGACUUUCCUUAGCUUAAGAUUUUUGUUCCGAUUCUCACUUUUGUUAGGAGGGCUCGGUUUUCAGUGUCUCAGUCAGCCCCCCGCCCCCCGCCACCUCCUCACUUUUCUUUUGAAAAAUGGAAAGGUAUUCCUUUUCUAUGAGCCACAAAGACGUUUCCGUAAAAGGAACCGCAUCAGGCUCCGUCUUCCCUCUCUCCCUGGUGAGUGGAAGUGGGUAGAUGCUCGUGGGUUGGGCUCAUGUUUGAAUCAUUGGCUCCAGGGUUCUUGCUCAAGAGGAAAGACUUUUUCUGUCGCCGCACCACGGCGAGGUCAGGGCACUGACAACAAACAGUUCAACUUCUCGAAACCUCGUGGUGCCUUUUCUUGUGGUGCUUCUCUCGUGUUUCUCCAGACAAGGCAGCCACUUGCAGCAAACAGCAGUGUCAGGGCUCUUCCUUGGUAUUACGUGCCAGUGCAGUAAAAGACUUAAUGUAUACAUAUAUAAACAGAUAUAGAGAUAUCACUAUAGUUAUAUAAUUAUAUAAUUGAGGUUCUGAUGCAGCUUUGGUGGGAGUUGAUUACUCCUCUGCAAAAAUAGACACUACUCAACGGGAACUCACAGCUCUGGGGGAGAGUUUUGACUUCUGGGAAGGACGCCAACAAAUGAGAUAGGUUACUUCUGGUGAUGAGUUUUCUUCUCCUUUCUUGUAAAAGUCGCUGUCUCCAUAAACGUGGAACGUUUGCGAAGGGAGCCAAGAGCAGCUUCUUUUUUGAACUUCCUUUGGUGCUGAUAUUUUCAAAAUUUCUUUGUUGCUUUUGCUUCCUCAUCAGUGGCUAAAAGACUUGUUUUCCAAAACCUCGACCCACCCAUCAAAGGGGAUGGGGGACUGGGAAUAAAAGGCUAGAGGUUGGGGGUCUCUGACUCUGUGACUUAACCCAGACCGUUUUCUGGGUAUGGCUCCCAGACUCAGUCUCCCCGUCUCAAAUAGACAUCAUAUUUCCUUACCUCACGGGGAAGGGUAACUUCAGAGGAUUCAUCAAUGGCCCUCAAACAUGAAAUCAUGAUUAAUUUGGAGACAGCAACUU
rnacentral:lncRNA from 1 species